CAGGACUCGCAAGACCUCCUACAACCCUGUGAACCUACUAUACGAACGUUGCUUCGGCGGGGUGCGCCCCGGGGAUUCGUUCCCGCGGCGCGUCAGCCCGCCGGCAGCCUACAAAUUCUGUUUCUUUGCGUUGGCAUCUCGAGAAAAAACAAAUAAGUUUA
rnacentral:misc_RNA from 1 species